AGGUGCUUGCACCUUAUCUUAGCGGCGGACGGGUGAGUAAUGCUUAGGGAAUCUGCCUAUUAGUGGGGGGACGAAACAUUCCGAAAGGAAUGCUAAUACUGCAUACGUCCUACGGGGGAGAAAAAGCAGGGGAUCUUCGGACCUUGCGCUAAUAGAUGAGCCUAAGUCGGAUUAGCUAGUUGGUGGGGUAAAGGCCUACCAAGGCGACGAUCUGUAGCGGGUCUGAGAGGAUGAUCCGCCACACUGGGACUGAGACACGGCCCAGACUCCUACGGGAGGCAGCAGUGGGGAAUAUUGGACAAUGGGGGGAACCCUGAUCCAGCCAUGCCGCGUGUGUGAAGAAGGCCUUAUGGUUGUAAAGCACUUUAAGCGAGGAGGAGGCUACUGAGACUAAUACUCUUGGAUAGUGGACGUUACUCGCAGAAUAAGCACCGGCUAACUCUGUG
rnacentral:rRNA from 1 species